CCUACGGGAGGCAGCAGUAGGGAAUAUUGCUCAAUGGGGGAAACCCUGAAGCAGCAACGCCGCGUGGAGGAUGAAGGUUUUAGGAUUGUAAACUCCUUUUGUGAGAGAAGAUAAUGACGGUAUCUCACGAAUAAGCACCGGCUAACUCCGUGCCAGCAGCCGCGGUAAUACGGAGGGUGCAAGCGUUACUCGGAAUCACUGGGCGUAAAGAGUGCGCAGGCGGGCUUGUAAGUCAGAUGUGAAAUCCUGUAGCUUAACUACAGAACUGCAUUUGAAACUAUGAGUCUAGAGUGUGGGAGAGGUAGGUGGAAUGCUUGGUGUAGGGGUAAAAUGCGUAGAUAUUAAGAGGAAUACUCAUUGCGAAGGCGACCUACUGGAACAUUACUGACGCUCAUGCACGAAAGCGUGGGGAGCAAACAGGAUUAGAUACCCUUGUAGUC
rnacentral:rRNA from 1 species